UUCCUUGAGUCUGAAAAACAAAACAAGAAUCAGCAGUGUUCCAGGCAAAAGUAAAAAGGAUUACUUCAGUUUUCUAUUAGUUCAGUCCUUUCCAUUAAUUCUUGUUUUGCUUGAUAUUCAUGAACAUGUUAGCUCUUCAUGAGUCCUGUAUGUUUUUCCUUUAUUCCAGUGUCACAAUCUUCAAAGGUAUCAGAAACCUGCAUUUGAGAGCACCUGUUAAAGUUCUAUAGCUGAUUAAACACCAUCUUCUGAAGAUCAAAACAAGACAACAAUUGUCUAAUGUAAGCACCAUAAAUACAGGACAGUGUCUUCUGCUGUAAUUUUGGAGCCUAGCACAGGUCCUGGCACAUGGGUCUUGCUCUGUCACCCAGGCUGGAGUGCGGUGGCAUGAACAUGGCUCAGUGCAGCCUCGACCUCCUGGGCUCAGGUGAUCUGUCCACCUAAGCAUCCCGGGUAUGCUACUACGCCUAGCUAAUUUUUUGUAUUUUUUGUAGAGACCGAGUUUCACCAUGUUGCCCAGGCUGGUCUUGAA